rnacentral:rRNA from 1 species
CAGCAGCCGCGGUAAUACCGGCGGCCCGAGUGGCGGCCACUUUUAUUGGGCCUAAAGCGUCCGUAGCCGGGCUGGUAAGUCCUCCGGGAAAUCUGGUCGCUUAACGAUCAGACUGCCGGAGGAUACUGCCAGCCUAGGGACCGGGAGAGGCCGGGGGUAUUCCCGGAGUAGGGGCGAAAUCCUGUAAUCCCGGGAGGACCACCUGUGGCGAAGGCGCCCGGCCGGAACGGGUCCGACGGGGAGGGACGAAGGCCAGGGGAGCGAACCGGAUUAGAUACCCGGGUAGUCCUGGCUGUAAACGAUGCGGACUAGGUGUCACCGAAGCUACGAGCUUCGGUGGUGCCGGAGGGAAGCCGUUAAGUCCGCCGCCUGGGGAGUACGGCCGCAAGGCUGAAACUUAAAGGAAUUGGCGGG